rnacentral:rRNA from 1 species
UACGUAGGGUCCGAGCGUUGUCCGGAAUUAUUGGGCGUAAAGGGCUCGUAGGCGGUUUGUCGCGUCGGGUGUGAAAACACGGGGCUUAACCCCGUGCCUGCUUCCGAUACGGGCAGACUAGAGGUAUGCAGGGGAGAACGGAAUUCCUGGUGUAGCGGUGGAAUGCGCAGAUAUCGGAAGGAACACCGGUGGCGAAAGCGGCGCGCUGGAUCUCUUCUGACGCUGAUGCGCGAAAGCCAGGGGAGCAAACGGG